rnacentral:sRNA from 1 species
CCAGGGGUUGCACCCCUGGCUAAAAACGGUCGCCCCUUCGGGGCU